GAGCAGCCUGAAGUGGAAAAAGUUGACGUUGUUGAUGCAGGCGCUCUUGAUGAUCAAGGUGACAGUGAUUAUAAACCAGCUGAUGAGGAGGCCAGAUCAAGACUGGCUGUCAGGCACUUCACUCCUUUUCCCUCCUGCUCUUCAUCAUCUCCCGCAUCUACCUCACAGAAAUGUCCUCGCAGGAUGGUGGGACCUCCUCGCAUAUGUCUUUCAGAUUCAGGCUAGGGUUAGUCUAGCUUUUUGGGUCACAGAGGUAAAAUAAGUGAAGUUUUACAAAC